GUUAAUAAAAUUUUAUAUGUAAACAUGUACUUAAAACCACUUUACACUCUUCAAAUGCUUUACAAAUAGUCACAAAUUUAAUCCUAAUAUAAGACAAUGAAUAGGUAACGUUAUUAUGGGACUUUUUAGAGAUAUAGAAACUAAGAUGGAUAGAGGUUAUUUAACCUUCUCAAGUGCGUUAAGCUAGUCACAUUAGAGUCAGGAUUUGAACCCAGGCAGUCUGGCUUCAACGCCAAGCUUCCCCUCAAUCACUUCUACCAUCAGAUAAUAUUGCUUCAUACUCACAGUGUUAGCACCAAGAAUGUAAGUUUAGCUAACUGAUCAUAUGAAUUUUGUUGAAAUUCUGUUUAUUUUUCUUCCAGAGAACUCAAUAUGGAACACUUUUUCUCUUUUGAUUCAGACAACCUAUGGAGAUUUUGAUCCUGUACUGAAAGGAACUGAAUGUGGAAAUUUUUGGAGUGUCCAUUCAAUGCCUCCCUGGAGUCUCUGCCAAAGGAAACAUUAGACACGACUCUGUCUGGAUCCAGCUACUACAUCUAUGAUGCUGUGGAUGUGGUGGCCUGAGCCCUCCAUGAAAUACUUUUUAUAAAAGCAGAACAGGGGUCCAUAAUGAAUGCAGGCCAGCUCAUGUUUCUCCCUUAGCAGGUUGCAAGUAAACCUCUAAUGAUUGUAGGGUCUAAUUAGCAACAGUGUCAACUCUUUUAACUAGAAAUAAUUGAUUAAAAACUUUCACUGUGAGAGGUAGGAAGAAGCAGGCUGUCUUUCUUUGUCUCUUCUUGAGCUCGAGGAAACUCCCUAGCACCCCUAAAGCAAACCUCAUUGCUCAAGCUCCACCCAUUCCUAAGAAACACCCAAUUUAAAAAAAGCACUGGAGCUCACGUGUCACUGGAUGAGAAAAGAAACUCUGUGUCACAGCAUGUAAUUCUGAACUAUAUGAUUUUCCUAAAGGUCUUGGACUUCAGGUGAAAGACGUUCUGUCAGCCAGGAUUCAGGAACAUCCCUCAGGAAGAGAGAGCUACCUGCUGCUUUGUCUGUGUAUUGUGCCCAGAGAGAGAAAUAUGUAAUCAGACAGAAAAGAAAAGUGUCUGUGGGGCUCAAGUUUGAGUUGAAACCAGGCUCAGGGUCCACCUGUCCUCGCUGAUCCGUGGAUUUCUGUGUGACCAGCUGACACCUAUGGAGCUGUGGCCCUGACUACUACCAGCUUGCUCAUCCCUCUACUCACACAGUCACCCCUCCCCUCACUCUCAUUUAUGCUUCACCUGUGAAUGGUGGUCCUGGGACAGCCACUGCUGGAGCCCGGGUGAGCCUGGGGGCUCC